AAUUGAUCCAAUUAUGGCACCUACCAGAUUUGUUCGAUUAGAUUUAUCGUUUUUUUUUCCACAUGUCUAGGUAAAUGUCAAGUGAAAUGAGUCACUGAACCUGAACUAUUUCACAGGAUUCUUGUAAAUGCGAUCACGUAAUCAUUACGAUAAUGGCAGUCUUUCUAUGCAUGUUGCUUGAGCGAGACUGAGCUUCUAGCUUUCUCUCGUUUCUUUUCUCAUUAGCAAGCGCGUUCCUGUAUUUUCGGACCAUCAGCAACACUCACUGGUUUGUCAGAACCUGCAGCGACCUCUGCCGUGUCCAGACCAGCAGCAGCACCAAACAGGAUGCCAGAACCUGCAGCAGUGGCAGCCACAGCUUGUCAGGACCUUCAGCAGCAUGGGAUCCUAUAGCGCACCUGGCUAGCAUGUUGGAGCACCACAACGAGUUGCUGUUAUUUACCCCAGUCGUCGAUUUCUGUAACAAAGAUACCCAGCCAGUCCCUGAAUAUUUAAAGAUAUGUGCUGGUGGUCCUACUCCACACAGUCAGGUUAAUACUGGCCUUCCACAUAUGCACCAUCCCAGAACAUCCCGGCAUAAGUGCAAUGACAGAGUGUAGAUGUCGUGGAUGAGAAACUGUCAAUUCUGCCUGGUGCUCUAAUGCUGUUCAUUUCAAGUUAUAAUGUAACAGCCAGGGCCUCGAAGCACUUAAAUAUUGGUAUAGAUUCAUCAGUGGACAGUGACUGGCGUGCUGUGCUAGACAUUGAAAAUGCAGCAAGAGGUGUUAAAGUGAGGUUUACGGAGUCGGUAUGGGAUGAACUGUGUAAUGCAGAGCCCUACAUUAAUCGGCAAUGACCGCAGAGUAUGGUCGUCCUGCUCUCUCCUGGAAAAUAGUUGUGGUGGCCUGAGGCUAUCAAGAACAUCGCUGCACGAUGGCGCUGCACACAUGCUGAGAUCAGGUUGUCGAUCAAUUUAUUUACAGCACUCCACGAUUUUACAUGUUUGGUCUAUGGAUGGUGCUACCCAUCGCACUGGAAAGAUUGAACGGAUGGCUACCUUAUGUUCAAAAUACAUGUAAAGACAGUGUUGAUUAUCUCUGGGUGAAUGGUGUGCAUGCUGACUAUUUGCAACAAUGUGUGAAUACAGUACCAAAAUAAAUUGAAACCAAUAAGUUUGAGAGAAAAUCGAACUGAAUUCCGCACAUAGAAGAAAACUUUAUUUGGUAAACACUCUAUAGGAGUGAAGAUGAAGAAAGAACCUCUUGAUCUAUUUUCAAAUGUACUGCAUCGAAUGUAUGAUUAUUGAAUAAUAAAAACAACAUGUUUACUACCACA